rnacentral:rRNA from 1 species
CAGUCGCCACGGUAAUACGGAGGGUGCAAGCGUUAAUCGGAAUUACUGGGCGUAAAGCGUGCGUAGGCGGUUCGUUAAGUCUGUUGUGAAAGCCCCGGGCUCAACCUGGGAAUGGCAAUGGAUACUGGCGAGCUAGAGUGUGUCAGAGGAUGGUGGAAUUCCCGGUGUAGCGGUGAAAUGCGUAGAGAUCGGGAGGAACAUCAGUGGCGAAGGCGGCCAUCUGGGACAACACCGACGCUGAGGCACGAAAGCGUGGGGAGCAAACAGGAUUAGAUACCCCCGUAGUCCCUGUCUCUUAUAC